AAGAAGUUAAAAACAGUACCAGCCGUGGUCGUGGCUCUGUAACCAUACUGCACGUUUGGUUGAACACCCUUUUUCAGCGAGGCCCCCCAUGCAAUCGUGGAAUAGCUUCACAGUUGACAAAAUCAUGUGACCAUCAAAAUCUUACAGGUACUUGAUACUUUAGAACUAUUUAUUCAAUUAACUUGGUAUUUUGAGUAAAAACUUCCUAUACCUCAAGGACAUGACUGCGGCAGCCAAAGACACUCCAGAAAUGGAGUUGAAGUUGGGCAGAUGUGAGAGGACAAAGUGGACAGAGGCAAAGAUCAUUAUAAAGAACGUAAGCUUGAUAUCUUUGCAUUCCGGGCAGACCGUGUCAUGGAAUUUCUUGAGUGAUUUCCCUCCUGUGACCAUGUACACAAUGUCCACUCCAACUUCAACAACUAGUUGCUGAGGUACGACGAUGUAGAGCCCGAGCUUCUCUCCAAAAGCAUGCUGUCCAAGCUCAUGAUAUCUGUCGAACCUCUUGCCAGGUACCAUUUCGUGCAUCUCAACCAUCUGCCACAACGUGUAGAAGGUGACGAUCCAAGAUAUGACCAUCACAGCUACUCCAGGCCCCCUGAAAAAUUCGC
rnacentral:lncRNA from 1 species